AAGUCGUAACAGGUAACCGUAGGUGAACCUGCGGUUGGAUCAUUACUGAAAUACUCAUCCGGGCAUUAUUCCCGGACAGGCUUGUUUGUCUGUCCGGGAAAUCAAUCCCCUAUGAUGAUAUUACACCCCCUUGUGAAUCGUUACCGUAAUUUUGGCAGCCGUCCAAAAAAUAAAUUCCCCAAAUCCUUUUUUUUGUUUUUGGGGGGUUUUUUUUUCCGGCUAUCAGCUUUAAAAAAUAAAAACACCGUGGAACUUUUUCAUUCCGUCUCACCGCAAAUUGCAAAUGGCUUUUUGCAUAAUUAUAAGUAAUAGUAAACAACUUUUGACAACGGAUCUCUUGGCUCUC
rnacentral:misc_RNA from 1 species